GGAAAAGAAACUAACAAGGAUUCCCCUUAGUAACUGCGAGUGAAGCGGGAAAAGCUCAAAUUUAAAAUCCUGGUGGUCUUUGGCCGCCCGAGUUGUAAUUUAGAGAAGCGUCUUCCGCGCUGGACCGUGCACAAGUCCUCCUGGAAUGGAGCGUCAUAGAGGGUGAGAAUCCCGUCCUUUGGCACGGCACGCUCAGUGCUUUUGUGAUGCGCUCUCGAAGAGUCCGAGUUGUUUGGGAAUGCAGCUCAAAAUGGGUGGUGAACUCCAUCCUAAAGCUAAAUAUUGGCGAGAGACCGAUAGCGAACAAGUACCGUGAGGGAAAGAUGAAAAGCACUUUGGAAAGAGAGUGAUACACAGUA
rnacentral:rRNA from 1 species